rnacentral:rRNA from 1 species
UACGAAGGGGGCUAGCGUUGCUCGGAAUCACUGGGCGUAAAGGGUGCGUAGGCGGGUCUUUAAGUCAGGGGUGAAGUCCUGGAGCUCAACUCCAGAACUGCCUUUGAUACUGAAGAUCUUGAGUUCGGGAGAGGUGAGUGGAACUGCGAGUGUAGAGGUGAAAUUCGUAGAUAUUCGCAAGAACACCAGUGGCGAAGGCGGCUCACUGGCCCGAUACUGACGCUGAUGCACGAAAGCGUGGGGAGCAAACAGG